UCGAGAAUAUUCGACAAUGGGCGAAAGCCUGAUCGAGCGACGCCGCGUGCAGGAUGAAGGCCCUCGGGUUGUAAACUGCGGUAGUAGGGGAGGAACGCAAGUGACUGUACCCUACGGAAAGUGGUUGGUAACUACGUGCCAGCACCAGCGGUAAUACGUAGACCACAAGCGUUAUCCGGAUUUAUUGGGCGUAAAGAGCAUGUAGGAGGUCCGGUGCGUCUCUGGUUAAAGCCCACCGCCUAACGGUGGAAGUGCCAGAGAUACGAUCGGACUGGAGGAUGUGAGAGGUGCAUGGAACUCACGGUGUAGGGGUGAAAUCCGUUGAUAUCGUGGGGAACACCAAAGGCGAAGGCAGUGCACUGGUACAUUCCUGACUCUGAGAUGCGAAAGCGUGGGGAGCAAAAAGGAUUAGAUACCCCAGUAGUCCCUGAGCGGGCUGGCAAGGCGCAU
rnacentral:rRNA from 1 species